CUGAUCAAGGCUCUUUUUUAUCUCUUUUAUAUAAUGCAAAUCAAAUAUACUAGCUCAUAGAAAUGUCAUGAAGCUUUAUAUUUUUUCCGAAUUACAAAUAUUGCUUGUUUUUAAAUCCACAGGUUUCACAAAAAUUAUUUUUAGCAAUGGAAUAUGAUUGUUCAGUUUCAGUUUGAAUUGUCAUUUAUUUUGAAGCUUCUGUUGCCAAGAUGUUAGCGAAAUCCUGAAACUAUUCAAAAUCGAUAUUUUUGUGCAGCAUAAUUUUUUACAGCAAAAAACGAUAAUUUCCUUUUACAUGUGUUCAAAUUCAAACUGACAACGUUGAGAGUACGAUUUUUGCCGUUGCUAGGUUGCUAGCAGAUGAUUUUUGUAAUUUAUUUUGACAGAAAAAAUGAUUUUUCUGUACACAAUUUGAGUGAAUUCUGUUCGUUAAGGUCUGUUUGAUCUCCUGAAAAUGUCCUGAUAUUAGAAAAAGAAGAGAAGAAUGCUGGUGGCGGCAUUGUGAAAAAAGUGGAACUAAAAUAUUUCCAGGGUUGCCAGAUAUUAGCGAAAUCCUGAAACUUAAUCAAUAUUUUUGUAAGAUUAAAACGAAACUAAACUAUUUUAAAUCACGAUAAAUCAGAAGUGUCUAGUCCUAGCAGUCAACUAUUAAGCUUGACCAAUCAAGUUGAUUAGCGUGGUUAUUUGGAGUGUGUUAAUUCAUUUGUGUUUGUCAAAAACUCUAACGUGAUUGGUCGGGCUUAACAGUUGCCUGCUAGGGCUAGACACAAGUGCAAAAAAACAUUUUGUUUCAGAUGUGUUCAAUCUGACAACGUUGAGAGUACGACAUUUUCCGUUGUUACGAAUGUUUUAUGUUGCUCUAACAAUUUUUCUGAUUUUUUGAUGGAAAAAGUGAUUUUUCUAUAUACACUGCUUCAAUGUAUUCUUUCCGUAAGGCCUGUUUAAUCUCCUGAAUCUAUUGUUUAUAUUACUGUUAUUCCUUUAAAGGUACCUUAAGACUUACAAGUUUAGUUUAAUUUCUUUUGAUGCCUAUGUAGUUUUGGAAUAAUUUCUAAUUGAUUUUCUCUUUAUUUUGUUUCCAUGUCCAUUUAAAAUUAAGUUUUUGUAUGUGAUAUUGUACUGCUUUGGAACAAGAAUUUUUUUGGAACAGCUGUACAAUUUAACCACCCUCUUCAAGAUGCCAAUUCAACAGCAGAUGAGAAUGAAAUUCAUGAUUAAAGAGGGAGCUAAAUAAUUUUAGGUAAAUUAUACUAAAAGGUGUAUUUUUUAAGUCGCAUAUGUUUAAUAAAUACCUGAUAUUACUGUAAUUUGUAAAAUAUGUGGAUACAAAUGAUUAAUUUGAAAUGAAAUAUUUUGGCGCACAAUUUAUUUUAAGGUAGGCAACUUGAAAUACAUACAUAUAUUAAUCACAGGCAACUAUAAAUACCUUUUACUGUAUAUAGAGUUGCCUAUAAACUGAUUUUAUAUCAAUUUUUAAAUUUCUACUUCAUUUUUAACAGGUUUUUAAUUAUAAUUAUAAAAUAUUUCUUUCAAAUAAUCAAAGGCCAAAAAGACGUUACUCCUAAGAUUCCACUAAUUUCGGGACUCUGAAUUGAAGCUUUAGUAAAUAAAAGCCAUAUUUAAAUAAUUUUAUAAUAAUACAUCAAUUUAUUUAUAUCAAUCUACACAGCUUGUUACAUCCAUACGCACAUCAAGUAAUGCAAAAAUAAAAAUAUCGACAAAAAUAUUCAACAGCAAAAAAAUAAAAAACGGAACAAAUUUAAUUCUAAACGAGAGAAAAAUGCCGUAAGAAAAAAUGUAAGUACAAAAAAAUAAAUUACACUAUAAUAAGUAACAACUUUUUAAUGACAGACUCGCGCAGAAUCCGCAUUUUGAUUUACAAAAAAAAUCUAGUAACAAAAAGUAGUAUGUAUAUCUGUCUGUCCUUUUAUUUCUACUUAUUUUGACAGCUUCUUUUAUGUUCAUUUAAGUACAUUUAAUAAGAAAAAAAAAUGCUAAAAACGGAAUGCCUUUUUGUACGGAUAUAUAUUAUGCGCGUAAUUCAAAAUUCCAAUCUCUCUCAAAAAAAUAUAAAAUACUGACUUAUAAAUACAAACAGCUAGAAAAAAACAAACAGGAUACGAGGCUGUAUAAAAUACAGGGUGGUCCGAAUUGUAUUCGUGAAACUUUGACAGCAUAUUCCGCAGAUAAAAAUUAAUAAAAAAAGUUCUUAUAAAUUUAUGCCCUAAUAUGCUUCUUUCAGAGAUUCAGGGUUCCAUUUUUAUUUAGAUUUUUUCUAAGUGAUUUUUCAACUAACGUUGAUAUUUGAAUGAAAGUUAAUGCCUAGGUGUUUCUUGACAUGACAAACUCGAUGUCAAUGACUCUUUUAUGUAGGGGGUGUCAGCUACAUGUUUUUUAACUGUUUUGAAGGAGUGCAAUACACCUACAAAAGAAAAGUACAAUCGAAGUCGAAUUUCUCAUGUAAAAAAACACCCACAAACCAAUUUUCAUCCAAAUAUCCACGUUAAUUCAGAAAUUAUUUGAAAAAAAUCAUCGAGAAAUAAAUAUGAAACUUCUACACCCUGUAUCUCUGAAAUGAAGCAUUUUACAUGAACUUACACAAACUUUUUUACUUAUUUUAAUCUGCAAAAUAUGUUACCAAAGUUUCCCGGCUACAACUGACCACCCCGUAUACAAACAAGUGUUUUUGUGUGUCUCUACCACUAGGAAUUUCUUUUAAAUAUUUGUAGGGUACAGUUAUACAAGUUUUUUUUAAUAUUAUAUGGAAAAAUGUAAGACUAUACUUGAGUUCGCGCGACAGGAGAAUGUUUAUGUAGAAAAUACGUUGGAUAAGCAUUAUAUUGGUGGUAUAGUAAUUCUAAAGUCAAUUGGAAACACUGUGAGACUUUUAAUUUAUUUGUCCAGACAAAAACUGAGGCCCACCCUAUUUCAAUCGACUUUGGACGAACUAUAUGUAUUUUUAUUAUCGAAUUUGGUCACAACUGGUCUAUUUUUCCCUAUCUAUCUGUUAAAAUAUUAAACAAGACUUAAGCAGACCACACACUACAGAACAUGUUGGCCUACAUGCUUAGCAACAUGUUCAUCAACAAAUAAACACACUAAGAAACUUGUUGCUCUGUAGUGCAUGGUCUGCUUUACUGUCGCAACAUUUAACUUUUAACAUACAAAGGGCGAUCCGCGAUCAUUGUAAUAGUUGGCAAUACUGUGUUGAAAGAUUUUUUAGUGAUUGGUACUGAUACUAAAAUUCCGGCCAAUUAUGUCAAAUUUUUUGACUUUUCCUUUCCUUCCUGUAAAUUUACCUAGUUUUAACUUUGUUAUUAUUUG